UUGAGCGUCAUCCACACCCUCGAGCGACGCUCGGUGUUGGGCGUCUGUCUGCGCUGCAGACUCGCCUCGAAUCUAUUGGCGGCGGUCCGGCUGGCUCCCCACGCAGCGCAUGCGUCCCGGGGUGGCUCCAGCGCGCUCCAGCGACCACGAAGACCACCAGGUCUGACCUCAAAUCAGGUAGGGAUACCCGCUGAACUUAA
rnacentral:misc_RNA from 1 species